rnacentral:lncRNA from 1 species
UUAAUAACGGGUUUGCAAGUUUACACGAAAGUGACACAUGGGUAUCCAUUUCGACACGUUAAGAAAAGUUAUUUUUAUGAUUUUAAUUUUUUAAACUACUAAAAAAGACUUACUAUAAAAUACAAUAGUCAUAGUGUAUAUGUAUAUUGUAUAUUAAAUUAUGUAUUGUAUUACUAUUCUAUACAAAUUUAAAAAUUUUAAGUUUUAUUUAUUUAUAUAGUGUACUAUAGGCAAAGAGUGAGAUUAAAAAAAUUAUAAAACACAUUACAAAUAAAAAUAUCAAGUAACUUAAAAAUACCAAACACAUUUAAAAAAUAUAAUAAUUAAUUACAAUGUGAAAAAAAAUAAUAUGCAAACGCUCGUGAUCAAGUCCUCUACGCUUAGAUGAUGGGUACAUCGUCGUUUGAAUUUUUAAAACCAUACAAACCCUCGUGAAUAAUAUUUUUAAGGGAGUUCAAAAUAAACCAAUAUCAUUUCCCUUGGUGAUUGAUGAAAAUUGAAGGAUUUUAUUGUCAAAAACAUGCACGAUUUCCUCAACCUUGAAACGCAAUUCAUUUCAUUUUGCAUAUCCUUGAACAUUUGGUAUUUUGUAGUAAUGUACUAAUGUUUUUUCAUUAGACUCUUAUUUUAGGGUAUGUAAUACUUAAAAGGCAAAUAUUGUUUUUAUGUUUUGAAGUAAUAUUUAUGUGACAAUGUGAUAUACAUUUACAAAUUUAGUAUUAUGUUUUCAAUUUUUUGGGGGUCAAAUUAUGUAUUUCAAUUUCAUUAUUUAUUGAUUUAAAAUAUAUUUUCUUUAACGGGUAACGGAUCGGGUCAUAUUACUUGAUAAUACUUUAACGGGUGUUACACGACACAACCCAUUAAGAUAUUAGGUAUGUCACGAAAAUGAUACGAACAC